rnacentral:rRNA from 1 species
ACAGCAGUCGCCGCGGUAAUACGAAGGGUGCAAGCGUUAAUCGGAAUUACUGGGCGUAAAGCGUGCGUAGGCGGUUUGUUAAGUCUGUUGUGAAAUCCCCGGGCUCAACCUGGGAAUGGCAAUGGAUACUGGCAAGCUAGAGUGUGUCAGAGGAUGGUGGAAUUCCCGGUGUAGCGGUGAAAUGCGUAGAGAUCGGGAGGAACAUCAGUGGCGAAGGCGGCCAUCUGGGACAACACUGACGCUGAGGCACGAAAGCGUGGGGAGCAAACAGGAUUAGAUACCCGCGUAGUCCCUGUCUCUUAUAC